rnacentral:misc_RNA from 1 species
GAUGAAGAACGUAGCGAAAUGCGAUAGGUAAUGUGAAUUGCAGAAUUCAGUGAAUCAUCGAAUCUUUGAACGCACAUUGCGCCCUUUGGUAUUCCUUAUGGCAUGCCUGUUCGAGCGUCACUACACACCUUAUCACAAUAUUUGUGGUCUUGGCAGGAGUGAAUUGCUGGUCUAUGGAAGUAUUCCAGCAGUACACAAUGCUAAAAAAUAUGGGAAGGUUACCAGAUAUGAACAACAGACUUUGUAAAUGGUUGUAGGACCUAGAUCAGUCACAAGUCAUGUCUGGUCCCUUACCUUAAGGACCCCCAUCCUAGAUGAACUAUGGGUUGACCUCGGAUCAGGUAGGAAUACUCGCUGAACUUAAGCAUAUCAAUAAGCGGAGGA